rnacentral:rRNA from 1 species
AUUGAACGCUGGCGGCAGGCCUAACACAUGCAAGUCGGGCGGGCGGAGGACGGGUGAGCAAUGAAUGGGGAUAUUCCUGAUGGGGGGCGAUAACUACUGGAAACGGUAGAUAAUACCGCAUACCAUCGGAUGAGACCAUAUGGGAUUACCGAGUAGGUGAGGUAACGGCUCACCAAGGCGACGAUCCCUAGCUGGUCUAAGAGGAUGAUCAGCCACACUGGGCCUGAGACACGGCCCAGACUCCUACGGGAGGCAGCAGUGGGAAAUAUUGCACAAUGGGCGCAAGCCUGAUGCAGCCAUGCCGCGUGUAUGAAGAAGGCCUUCGGGUUGUAAAGUACUUUCAGUCGGGAGGCGUUACCAACAGAAGAAGCACCGGCUAACUCCGUGCCAGCAGCCGCGGUAAUAC